CAAAAAUCAUAAAAUGUAUAAUUUGACACAAAUCCUAAGAUUAUUUGUAGUUGCUGUUGGAAUAGCAACAGCCACAAUGUAAAGAAAAAAUCAACUAGAUUUUCACACAGUUUGCAGAUCUUAAAUGAAUAAAAUGAUCUGAGUGUUGAUGUCAACAGUUUAACUUCAACGAGAGUUUAGGAAAAUGUGUUUGAUAAUGGAGCUUUAGCUUCAAGAUUUUGUUUUGUUGUUUGUGGAGAAGAUCUAAUAUUAAACAUGCUUCAAAUAAAGAAUGUUAUUAUACCGUAAUAAAAAAUUGUUAUAAUGAAGCAUAUCAGAAUUACAAAUAGAGGAAAUGAAGAAAGCUCUUUACUCUAGAGUAUUUUCUUCCACUAUUCACAACUGUCUGAGCAGUGAGGAGGAAACCUGAUGAUAUGUAGAGCUGAGCUCCAUGUGACUGACUGUGUGUGUUUGCAUAUGUGUCCUGCCUCUCUGCUCCAGCUGUUAAGAGGUCAGAGUUGAUCAGUGGCUGUCCAGGCCUUUCAGAGCCACUGAUACACCAGCAGCACAAUGAUGAUGUCACUGACUCUACUGCUGACCAUCCUGGGGCUCCUGGUUCAGGGUUCUUCAGGAGACAUCAUCUUGACUCAGACUCCUGGAGCUCAGUCUGCUGUUCAGGGACAGACCGUCUCCAUCAGGUGUAAAUCUGACCGACUGAUAGGUGAUGACAUCAACUGGUAUUUUCAGAAACCUGGAGAAGCUCCCAAACUUUUGAUUUAUGAUACCACAGAACGUCAGCCUGGAGUUCCUGAGCGUUUUCGUGCAAUAGCAGAACAGACUGACUUCACUUUAACCAUCAGUGGAGUUCAGGCUGAGGAUGCAGGAGUUUACUAUUGUCAGCAACGUAACAGCUUCCCACUCACACAGUGAUACAAGGCCGUACAAAAACCUCAGAGAGAAAGAGGAACUGAUCUGACUCAAAAUGGUACAGGGGAAAAAAAUCAUUAUUUUAAUAAACUAAAGACAAAUUAUUUUCUAUUAAUUAAUAUUAAGAGCAAUACAGUUCCUGUUUGAAAGCUUUAUUGAUUUCAAAUUUUAAUUCAAAUUUUGUACUGAACAGUUUCAACAGAACAGGAACUGAAUUUAGUCACCAGAAAUUCACUCUAGAACUCUUUUCAGCAAAUGUGAUACAAAGAUCUGCAUCAGGACACUCUGAUAAUACAGAGCAACGAUCUCAGAUUAUUUAAAAAAAAAAAUAUAUAUAUAUAAAUGAAACAUGUCUUUUCAUAAGUAUUCAACAAGGAUUUGACGCAUUUUCCAUUAUCUAAAUGAAAUCUUAUUGAUUUAAACAUUUCCACUUGGAACAGCAGACUGAGAGAUGAAACAAUCAGUAAAGAGUUAAACCAGUUUGCUUAGAUCAUCUUGAUUGAUACCUCUAGUUAUUUGAAAGAAAAAA